rnacentral:rRNA from 1 species
CGAACGGGUGAGUAACACGUAGGUAACCUACCCUGUACAGGGGGAGUAACAGUCAGAAAUGACUGCUAAUACCGCAUAAGACCACAGCACCGCAUGGUGCAGGGGUAAAAAACUCCGGUGGUACAGGAUGGACCCGCGUCUGAUUAGCUGGUUGGUGAGGUAACGGCUCACCAAGGCGACGAUCAGUAGCCGGCUUGAGAGAGUGAACGGCCACAUUGGGACUGAGACACGGCCCAGACUCCUACGGGAGGCAGCAUG